UAUCGGAACGUACCCUAGAGUGGGGGAUAACGUAGCGAAAGUUACGCUAAUACCGCAUACGAUCUAUGGAUGAAAGUGGGGGAUCGCAAGACCUCAUGCUCCUGGAGCGGCCGAUAUCUGAUUAGCUAGUUGGUAGGGUAAAAGCCUACCAAGGCAUCGAUCAGUAGCUGGUCUGAGAGGACGACCAGCCACACUGGAACUGAGACACGGUCCAG
rnacentral:rRNA from 1 species